GUGGGAGGGCACAGGAUAAACACGGGUAGAUUGGUGAGAGGGCACAGGAUAAACACGGGUAGGUUGGGUGGGAGGGCACAGGAUAAACACGGGUAGGUGGGUGGGAGGGCACAGGACAAACACGGGUAGGUUGGGUGGGAGGGCACAGGAUAAACACGGGUAGGUUGGGUGGGAGGGCACAGGAUAAACACGGGUAGAUUGGUGAGAGGGCACAGGAUAAACACGGGUAGGUUGGGUGGGAGGGCACAGGAUAAACACGGGUAGGUGGGUGGGAGGAGUGUGCGUCUCCUCACAGUUCACUCAAAGUGCAUCACACACACACACACACACACACACACACACACACACACACACACACACACACACACACACA
rnacentral:lncRNA from 1 species